AAGGUAAGCUCAGGGAAGACAGAAACCUUCUGUGGAGCAGAGGGGCAAAAGCUCACUUGAUGUCGACUUUCAGUAUGAAUACAGACUGUGAAAGAGA
rnacentral:ncRNA from 1 species